rnacentral:piRNA from 1 species
UACUGAUUCUUCAUUGGACUG